AUUCAAUAUUGCAACAUAAAAAUUCCAAAUCGUUUAACUUUACAGUCAAGGCUAAGGCAUAAAGAAGAAACCCAAGAAAUUUCAGCUCAUUUGGAGAAGUAUUUUUCGAGUAAUUGUGGUUGCCAAUAUUAAAUGUGUUGUUGUGAGGAAAACGCGUUUAAAGUUUUGAAAAUCUGCUAUGCGCUGAAAAAGCAUUAUCGAAAAAUGAAGAAGAAACAUAUAAGGUUCAAUUUUCGACCUGAAACUUUUGGAGCGUACCCUACGGGAGAUUUCUUAAUAUUUUAGAGGAACAAAAAAUCUAAUUUUUUGACGUUCUAAACGAAAAAAAUUUUCAAGAAAAAAACUUUAAUAAAAAGUUGCAAUAUAAAUAAACGUGCAAACACUAAAACAUCUGAAUUCAAAAGAGAAAAAAAAUACAGGAAAUGAGCGGAAAUUACUACGCUUUUUAGUAUGCACAACACAAACGAGUUGGUACAGUCCAAGUUAAUAGUUGCAAUGCGGAGUUGACUCAAAUCUGAAAUUAAAAUCGUAAACUUGACUUGUGCGCUCUCGUUACUUGGAGUUUAUAAGAAUAGUAAGCGGCAAUAUGAUUUGAAGCAGAAAUAUUUUCCUCACCGCCAGACAUCUUUUUCUGAAGACCCUUCUGGAGAUCGGCUGCGGGAACAAUGCAAUAAAUUCAGUUUAACAACAUAAUUUCUAUUAGUCUAUAGAAUAAAAUGCCUUUAAAAAAAUCAAUAAAAGAAA